rnacentral:rRNA from 1 species
CAGCCGCCGCGGGAAUACGGAGGGGGCUAGCGUUGUUCGGAAUUACUGGGCGUAAAGCGCACGUAGGCGGCUUUGUAAGUUAGAGGUGAAAGCCCGGAGCUCAACUCCGGAAUUGCCUUUAAGACUGCAGAGCUAGCAGAUGAGAGAGGUGAGUGGAAUUCCGAGUGUAGAGGUGAAAUUCGUAGAUAUUCGGAAGAACACCAGUGGCGAAGGCGGCUCACUGGCUCAUACUGGACGCUGAGGUGCGAAAGCGUGGGGAGCAAACAGGAUUAGAUACCCCCGUAGUCCCUGUCUCUUAUAC